AAUUUAUUAAGAGGUAUAUAACGCAAGUAAACUGAAAGCAUAUGAAGAUGGAUCCGUCUUCAAAAUGCGUUCAGUCUUACUAUGGCACCCAGGACGCUAUUAAAGUCCUGGUUGCCAUAGUAGUAGUGGGGAGCAGUAUACUUACAGUCCGUGCG